GACGAACGCUGGCGGCGUGCUUAACACAUGCAAGUCGAACGGAAAGGCCCUGCUUUUGUGGGGUGCUCGAGUGGCGAACGGGUGAGUAACACGUGAGUAACCUGCCCUUGACUUUGGGGUAACUUCAUGCAACUGGGGCUCAUACCGGAUAGGAGCUCCUGCUGCAUGGUGGGGGUUGGAAGGUUUCGGCGGUUGGGGAUGGACUGGCGGCUUAUUAGCUUGUUGGUGGGGUAGUGGCUUACCAAGGCUUUGACGGGUAGCCGGCCUGAGAGGGUGACCGGCCACAUUGGAACUGAGAUACGGCCCAGCCCCCUACGGGAGGCAGCAGUGGGGAAUAUUGCACUAUGGGAGGAAGCCUGAUGCAGCAACGCCGCGUGCGGGAUGACGGCCUUCGGGUUGUAAACCGCUUUCGCCUGUGACGAAGCGUGAGUGACGGUAACGGGUAAAGAAGCACCGGCUAACUACGUG
rnacentral:rRNA from 1 species